UACGUAGGGGGCUAGCGUUGUCCGGAUUUAUUGGGCGUAAAGCGCGUGUAGGCGGCCAGGUAGGUCCGCUGUGAAAACUCGAGGCUCAACCUCGAGACGUCGGCGGAAACCCUCUGGCUAGAGUCCGGAAGAGGAGAGUGGAAUUCCUGGUGUAGCGGUGAAAUGCGCAGAUAUCAGGAAGAACACCCGUGGCGAAGGCGGCUCUCUGGGACGGUACUGACGCUGAGACGCGAAAGCGUGGGGAGCGAACAGG
rnacentral:rRNA from 1 species